UUGAUCAUCUGGAUUUUCAUGGAUUAUAUAAGUAUGAUUCUUACCUUGAGAUUACGCACUUGGUGAGGGCAUCCUGCAGGAAUGAAAACUGCCUCUCCAAGUCUUUGCUCGAAUGUCCAAGGUUCAAUCCCUAAAAUGGUAAGCAUCCACAUUUUGAGUUUAUUAAACAAAAUGUGAUCCUUGUUCUUAAGGAAAGAUAACGAACAAGGUAAAUUACUAACCGAAUUCUUCCUUCAGUUUUCUCUUGUGCUCCAUAGUUAGGUAGAAGCUCUGGUCAUGGAUUGGAUGAAAAACCUGAUCAACCGGACAACAGAAAGUGUGCCUAAAUUCCUUUGCAUGCUUUAAAAGAUACUCAUUCAACUUGGGUACGUCUUCCCUUCUGAAAAUGUCCCACAAGGCACCUCCAGUUGUCUCUGAAUCAUCAGAGGUUUUCUCCUCCCCUCUAAUAUCACUAGACAUCUUCAUAGGAUAUUCAUCAGCCUCACAUUUGAGGCGCUCUCUUUCAUCUUGAGUUCUAUGCCUCUGUUUCACUAUUUCAAUUGCAGACUGCUGCUCAUCAGUUAUAGCCAUCUCUGCUGUGUGUGUCAAAAUAUUUAUCUGACCAAUUCAAAAUUUUAAAAUAUUAGCUUGUCAUGAAAUGAGCCUGAAAAAGUAAUGGUUGCAAUCUUAGCAGGUAAUGCAUCAUGGACAGAAUACUGAACUGGGAAAAGCAAUAAACUGCUAUCAAGGUGAGAAUAAACAUAAAACUAGAUUGUGGCAUGUGGUUUAAUUUACCUGGAAUGUGACAAUUGUCAAAAUAUAUUGUAUAGGACUGGCCAUGAGGUUUAUGAGUCUCACUAGACAACAUAAGGCAGAAGAGAUUGGAUGAAUGUGGUGGUUCUAUAUAUUUGGAAUAAAAUGUUAGUUUUUCACCCAUUUUGGAAUUUUCAUACAAUUGAGAUACCUUCUUACCAGGUCCUUGUCGAUUUGGUCAUAGUUUUUGGAUGUGAGCUAAGGUAAUAUCCUCCAAGUUGUGAUUUCAAGUAUUAACCAGGGCUAUUCACAAGUCAACACAUAUAUUAAGGAGGUGGCAUUGACAUGAGAAUAAAGUGAAGAAAUCAAAUGAAUGAACUACAAUAGUCCCGUCAAAAUCAUACCGCAUCUGACAUAUCACAGUGAAGCUUUGUCACUGAAUCCCCUCU
rnacentral:lncRNA from 1 species